rnacentral:rRNA from 1 species
CGUAGGCAGCAAGCGUUGUUCGGAAUUACUGGGCGUAAAGGGUGCGUAGGCGGCUUUUUAAGUUUGGUGUGAAAUCUCCCGGCUCAACCGGGAGGGUGCGCCGAAUACUGAGAAGCUAGAGUGUGGGAGAGGAAAGUGGAAUUCCUGGUGUAGCGGUGAAAUGCGUAGAUAUCAGGAGGAACACCGGUGGUGUAAACGGCUUUCUGGACCAUAACUGACGCUGAUGCACGAAAGCGUGGGUAGCAAACAGGAUUAGAUACCCUGGUAGUCCACGCCCUAAACGAUGCAUAUUUGGUGUGGGCCAUUCAUUUGGUCCGUGCCGGGGCUAACGCGUUAAAUAUGCCGCCUGGGGAGUACAGUCGCAAGGCUG